AGAGUUUGAUCCUGGCUCAGGACGAACGCUGGCGGCGUGCCUAAUACAUGCAAGUCGAACGAACUCUGGUAUUGAUUGGUGCUUGCAUCAUGAUUUACAUUUGAGUGAGUGGCGAACUGGUGAGUAACACGUGGGAAACCUGCCCAGAAGCGGGGGAUAACACCUGGAAACAGAUGCUAAUACCGCAUAACAACUUGGACCGCAUGGUCCGAGUUUGAAAGAUGGCUUCGGCUAUCACUUUUGGAUGGUCCCGCGGCGUAUUAGCUAGAUGGUGAGGUAACGGCUCACCAUGGCAAUGAUACGUAGCCGACCUGAGAGGGUAAUCGGCCACAUUGGGACUGAGACACGGCCCAAACUCCCACGGGAGGCAGCAGUAGGGAAUCUUCCACAAUGGACGAAAGUCUGAUGGAGCAACGCCGCGUGAGUGAAGAAGGGUUUCGGCUCGUAAAACUCUGUUGUUAAAGAAGAACAUAUACUGAGAGUAACUGUUCAGGUAUUGACGGUAUUUAACCAGAAAG
rnacentral:rRNA from 2 species